rnacentral:rRNA from 1 species
UACGUAGGUGGCAAGCGUUGUCCGGAAUUACUGGGUGUAAAGGGAGCGUAGGCGGGCAAUUAAGUUGGGUGUGAAAUACCGCGGCUCAACCGCGGGGCUGCACCCAAAACUGAAUGUCUUGAGUGAUGUAGAGGCAGGCGGAAUUCCUAGUGUAGCGGUGAAAUGCGUAGAUAUUAGGAGGAACACCAGUGGCGAAGGCGGCCUGCUGGGCAUUAACUGACGCUGAGGCUCGAAAGCGUGGGGAGCAAACAGG